rnacentral:tRNA from 1 species
GUCCGGGUGGCGAAGUGGCAAACGCGGCGGUCUGCAAAACCGCUACCCGCGGGUUCGAUUCCCGCCCCGGACU